AUUCAUAGCUAAUGAACUCCUUGACAGGAAACUGAUGAAAACAUUCCUAAAGGACCUGAAGCUAACACUGAUUGUCAAAAUGGGACAAGCUGGGCUGUGGAAUUAGGAAGUGAGCAGCAACUAUACCCCAUAGUUGUGAAAGAUCUCGAGUACCCUGGACACAUGCUUAUAGAGAUGCUGUGCAAUGACCAUACUCGCUUUAUGGAAGUUGCUGAUGUGAUUUAUAAUUUGCAACUAACUGUGCUCAAGGGUGUGAUGGAAAGCCGCUUGGACAAUACAUGGGCCUGCUUUAUUGUCGAGGCCUCGAGAAACUUUCAUCGUCUGGACAUCUUCUGGCCUUUAAUGCAACUUCUG